CAGCAGCCGCGGUAAUGCGGAGGGGGCUAGCGUUGUUCGGAAUUACUGGGCGUAAAGCGCACGUAGGCGGCUUGGUAAGUUAGAGGUGAAAGCCUAGAGCUCAACUCCAGAAUUGCCUUUAAGACUGCCGAGCUAGCAGGUGAGAGAGGUAAGUGGAAUUCCGAGUGUAGAGGUGAAAUUCGUAGAUAUUCGGAAGAACACCAGUGGCGAAGGCGGCUUACUGGCUCAUACUGGACGCUGAGGUGCGAAAGCGUGGGGAGCAAACAGGAUUAGAUACCCCCGUAGUCCCUGUCUCUUAUAC
rnacentral:rRNA from 1 species